AUUGAACGCUGGCGGCAUGCCUUACACAUGCAAGUCGAACGGUAACAGGUCUUCGGAUGCUGACGAGUGGCGAACGGGUGAGUAAUACAUCGGAACGUGCCCGAGAGUGGGGGAUAACGAGGCGAAAGCUUUGCUAAUACCGCAUACGAUCUCAGGAUGAAAGCAGGGGACCGCAAGGCCUUGCGCUCACGGAGCGGCCGAUGGCAGAUUAGGUAGUUGGUGGGAUAAAAGCUUACCAAGACGACGAGCUGUAGCUGGUCUGAAAGGACGACCAGCCACACUGGGACUGAGACACGGCCCAGACUCCUACGGGAGGCAGCAGUGGGGAAUUUUGGACAAUGGGCGCAAGCCUGAUCCAGCCAUGCCGCGUGCAGGAUGAAGGCCUUCGGGUUGUAAACUGCUUUUGUACGGAACGAAAAGACUCUGGUUAAUACCUGGGGUCCAUGACGGUACCGUAAGAAUAAGCACCGGCUAACUACGUGCCAGCCGCCGCCGUAACAC
rnacentral:rRNA from 1 species